rnacentral:rRNA from 1 species
GUCCACGCCGUAAACGAUGAUAACUCGCUCUUGGUCCGCAAGGAUCUGGGGCUUAGCGAAAGCGUUAAGUUAUCCACCUGGGGAGUACGCCGGCAACGGUGAAACUCAAAGGAAUUGACGGGGGCCCGCACAAGCGGAGGAACAUGUGGUUUAAUUCGAUGAUACGCGAGGAACCUUACCCAGGCUCGAACGCCGAACGAAUACAGGGGAAACUUUGUAGCCAGCAAUGGCGGUCGGCGAGGUGCUGCAUGGUUGUCGU